rnacentral:tmRNA from 1 species
GGGGGCGUAUAUGGCUUUCGACGGGGGUAAGUUGUGCUGCGGAAGCGAGUCGAGGGGUCCUGGGCCCGCGUUAAAAAACUGGGAACUAAAUAUAAACGCAGACGAAAAUUACGCAUUAGCAGCUUAGUAUAGCUGCUCGUCCUACCUGAGAGUCCUACGGCUUGGGAUAGGGCGCCAAAUUAGUAGGGAAACGAGCCUAGCAAAGCUUUGAGCUAGGAACGGAAUUUAUGAAGCUACCGAAACUGGAAUCCUGUCAGUAGGAGUCUAGAAGAGGGAAACUCUAAAUUACUGACUGCACUCGGAGAUGCCGCGGUGAGGCUGCUUUCGGACAGGGGUUCGACUCCCCUCGCCUCCACCA